rnacentral:rRNA from 1 species
GACGAACGCUGGCGGCGUGCUUAACACAUGCAAGUCGAACGGAAAGGCCCUGCUUUUGUGGGGUGCUCGAGUGGCGAACGGGUGAGUAACACGUGAGUAACCUGCCCUUGACUUUGGGAUAACUUCAGGAAACUGGGGCUAAUAUCGUAUAGGAGCUCCUGCUGCAUGGUGGGGGUUGGAAAGUUUCGGCGGUUGGGGAUGGACUCGCGGCUUAUCAGCUUGUUGGUGGGGUAGUGGCUUACCAAGGCUUUGACGGGUAGCCGGCCUGAGAGGGUGACCGGCCACAUUGGGACUGAGAUACGGCCCAGACUCCUACGGGAGGCAGCAGUGGGGAAUAUUGCACAAUGGGCGGAAGCCUGAUGCAGCAACGCCGCGUGCGGGAUGACGGCCUUCGGGUUGUAAACCGCUUUCGCCUGUGACGAAGCGUGAGUGACGGUAAUGGGUAAAGAAGCACCGGCUAACUACGUG